rnacentral:rRNA from 1 species
AAAUUGAAGAGUUUGAUCAUGGCUCAGAUUGAACGCUGGCGGCAGGCCUAACACAUGCAAGUCGAACGGUAACAGGAAGCAGCUUGCUGCUUUGCUGACGAGUGGCGGACGGGUGAGUAAUGUCUGGGAAACUGCCUGAUGGAGGGGGAUAACUACUGGAAACGGUGGCUAAUACCGCAUAACGUCGCAAGACCAAAGAGGGGGACCUUCGGGCCUCUUGCCAUCAGAUGUGCCCAGAUGGGAUUAGCUUGUUGGUGAGGUAACGGCUCACCAAGGCGACGAUCCCUAGCUGGUCUGAGAGGAUGACCAGCCACACUGGAACUGAGACACGGUCCAGACUCCUACGGGAGGCAGCAGUGGGGAAUAUUGCACAAUGGGCGCAAGCCUGAUGCAGCCAUGCCGCGUGUAUGAAGAAGGCCUUCGGGUUGUAAAGUACUUUCAGCGGGGAGGAAGGUGUUGUGGUUAAUAACCGCAGCAAUUGACGUUACCCGCAGAAGAAGCACCGGCUAACUCCGUGCCAGCAGCCGCGGUAAUACGGAGGGUGCAAGCGUUAAUCGGAAUUACUGGGCGUAAAGCGCACGCAGGCGGUCUGUCAAGUCGGAUGUGAAAUCCCCGGGCUCAACCUGGGAACUGCAUUCGAAACUGGCAGGCUUGAGUCUUGUAGAGGGGGGUAGAAUUCCAGGUGUAGCGGUGAAAUGCGUAGAGAUCUGGAGGAAUACCGGUGGCGAAGGCGGCCCCCUGGACAAAGACUGACGCUCAGGUGCGAAAGCGUGGGGAGCAAACAGGAUUAGAUACCCUGGUAGUCCACGCCGUAAACGAUGUCUACUUGGAGGUUGUGCCCUUGAGGCGUGGCUUCCGGAGCUAACGCGUUAAGUAGACCGCCUGGGGAGUACGGCCGCAAGGUUAAAACUCAAAUGAAUUGACGGGGGCCCGCACAAGCGGUGGAGCAUGUGGUUUAAUUCGAUGCAACGCGAAGAACCUUACCUGGUCUUGACAUCCACAGAACUUUCCAGAGAUGGAUUGGUGCCUUCGGGAACUGUGAGACAGGUGCUGCAUGGCUGUCGUCAGCUCGUGUUGUGAAAUGUUGGGUUAAGUCCCGCAACGAGCGCAACCCUUAUCCUUUGUUGCCAGCGGUCCGGCCGGGAACUCAAAGGAGACUGCCAGUGAUAAACUGGAGGAAGGUGGGGAUGACGUCAAGUCAUCAUGGCCCUUACGACCAGGGCUACACACGUGCUACAAUGGCGCAUACAAAGAGAAGCGAUCUCGCGAGAGCAAGCGGACCUCAUAAAGUGCGUCGUAGUCCGGAUUGGAGUCUGCAACUCGACUCCAUGAAGUCGGAAUCGCUAGUAAUCGUGGAUCAGAAUGCCACGGUGAAUACGUUCCCGGGCCUUGUACACACCGCCCGUCACACCAUGGGAGUGGGUUGCAAAAGAAGUAGGUAGCUUAACCUUCGGGAGGGCGCUUACCACUUUGUGAUUCAUGACUGGGGUGAAGUCGUAACAAGGUAACCGUAGGGGAACCUGCGGUUGGAUCACCUCCUUACCUUAAAGAAGC